GCAGUCCGCUUGCUCGGCCGCAGCGCCUUGCCUUAGUUCUACAGACAGUUCUAGAUGCUUUUAUGCAACAAUUGAUAUUAAAGUACAGAAACAUCAACCUGACAACAAAGACAUCUACCAAGUGGCAUACUUUCAGAGACAGAAGACUUGCCUGCUAAAACCUGGAAAAUUGUGUGCAACAUCUCCACCUGCUGGCAUCUCCAAUUUAAAAACAAUUGUACAGAGCUUUUAUCAUGAUUCCUUAAAAAAAUCUUACCUAAGAAGUACAUCGAAUAUAACUUACUUCAUGUAAGAUGUAAU
rnacentral:lncRNA from 1 species